rnacentral:rRNA from 1 species
CCUACGGGAGGCUGCAGUGGGGAAUAUUGGGCAAUGGGCGCAAGCCUGACCCAGCAACGCCGCGUGAAGGAAGAAGGCUUUCGGGUUGUAAACUUCUUUUCUGAGGGACGAAGAAAGUGACGGUACCUCCGGAAUAAGCCACGGCUAACUACGUGCAAGCAGCCGCGGUAAUACGUAGGUGGCAAGCGUUAUCCGGAUUAAUGGGGUGUAAAGGGCGUGUAGGCGGGAAAGCAAGUCAGAUGUGAAAUCUCAGGGCUCAACCCUGAGCCUGCAUUUGAAACUGUUUUUCUUGAGUGCUGGAGAGGCAAUCGGAAUUCCAUGUGUAGCGGGGAAAUGCGUAGAUAUACGGAGGAACACCAGUGGCGAAGGCGGAUUGCUGGACAGUAACUGACGCUGAGGCGCGAAAGCGUGGGGAGCAAACAGGAUUAGAUACCCCGGUAGUC